CAUAACAUCAAUCGGAAAGGUUUUGCUUAACUGCAGAUUAAUAGGGAAUCGUGUGCAAAUCACGAGCUGUCGCGCAACUGUAAGUAACAAACAAGGUUUUCAUUAAGCAUAUCCACUGUUCUAAUAUGAAUGGGAAGGGUGAUGAGAACUGUUACAAGCCAGGAGACCUGCCUGUUCCGAAUGGACGAU
rnacentral:ncRNA from 2 species